GCUCCUUUAGCUCAGUUGGUAGAGCGCAGCACUAGUAUCUCUGCGAGAUGCUGAGGUCAUCAGUUCGACUCUGAUAGGGAGCA